CUUAAUUGGACGUUGAACCGUUGGUUAGAUGGAUAAAUUGCAGAUGGUGAAAGGAUUAGAAGAAUUCAAUGACUUGAGUUCAUGUUCAAACAAAAUGGAGAAGUGCAUGAAUAAGUGGAUAUUAAGACUGAUAGAGACGUUCACAGGAUGAUGUAUAAUAUGUUCAAAAUUAUUUUGAUGGUUGUAAUCGCUUAGUUAUAGUAAUGGUAUUUUAUUUUUGUAGUAUGUUGUGUUGUUGUU
rnacentral:lncRNA from 1 species